GACAGUAGGUACAAAUUUGACACCUUAACUUUGAACACCUAUAUCUCCUUCAAAAAAACCUGAAAUCACACAAACUCUUUACCCAAAUUAUACCCCAAAUCCUAAACUUAUUGAAAUUAGCCUCAAAAGCUCGAAUGACUUCGAAAGAGAAAUCCUAAUCUCUGAUACGGCCUCAAGCAGCCUCCUUGAAGCCCAUUGGACAUGGCCUUCGACCAAUAAGAAUGAAGUUUUCCAUUCCUUGCCUUCAUCCAACCAUGCCUUGCUUUCAUCCCUCCUAAUAAGCCUCCUAUUAGUUAAGAUUUUCUUCUUUAGGCUCUAAUCUCCUC
rnacentral:lncRNA from 1 species